GACACUGGCUUAAUGUUGGAGAAGCAAAAAACCGACGAUAAACACGUUCAUGUCUGUUGUGUACAAGAAGAUAAAAACUCCACGUUCAAAUAUUUUUAUUCUGCAAACAAUCCAUGAGAAACUUUUAUCUGUUAAUUUUUUAAUUCACAAAUUUCUAUCUGUCUGAGAGACCACUGAGAGAAUGCACAUGUUGGAUUUAGAAAGGUUGCUAAAGCUCAGGCCCAUUUAUUUAUUAAUCAUUUAAAAAGAGAAAAAAAUGAAUAAGAAAUAAGGCCCAGUUGUAGCAUAUAAAGUGUUUCAUGCAGCCCUUUGUAGCGCAUCUGUGCACGCAGAAGGAAGAAGUAGUCAAACAGUGGGCCUUUAGCAUGAGCUGGUAAGUGAGGUUAUUCCAUCAAUUUUAAAUGUUUGGACGAUUUGACUUUAUUUCAGCAACUUUAGAAAAUAGCAUCUUCAAAAAAUGUGUGAAUGUACUGAGCAACCAAUGUGAUCUUAUUGCUUCCUAUAAAUAUUUCAAAACAAUUUAAAAUCCUUUAAAUAAAUACCUGUUUUUUUCUCAUAAGAAAUGCACUUAUAAAAACAAAAAUGAUCAACUUUAUUUUGGGCCAUGCUGCACACAAACAGAUUAAACCCUCUAAAAUAUUUGCAUUUCUCCACAGGAGGGGAAAUAAAUAGAACUGUUUCACACAUUGACACCUAAAUUGGCCUAUUUAGAGUUUAGCAUGUUCACAAAGUGAGCUCAGAUUUGAAAUUAAUUCCCUCAAAAUGUGUUUUCAAAUUACCCAACAGGGUUAAAGUGGGACUUGUUAGCAAAAAAUAUUUCUCCCAUCAUUAAGUUAAUUUAAUUUCAUGUUUAAUCGCACGCUCCAGAGUUGGAAAUAAUAACAAUAAUAACUGUGAUAAUUAAAAAAAAAGAAAAAAAGACACCAAUUAGCACGCUCAUUUGUCCGUCUGACUGGGUGAUGCAUAAUUCAUGAAAUUAGAGAAUGGAGGGAUCAGCUUUCCUACUGAGGGGGGGGGGAUCGGUAUAAAGACAGGAGACAGUGCUGCCUUUUCUUAGGAAACAUGCUCAGACUGCUGCUGCUGCUGCCUGGAUACAGCUGCACAAGCCAGGAAAUCAUGUCAUCCCUGAAACCAGCGGAGCCCGGGACCCGGAGGCCGGAGCGAGGCCCGGUCCCUCCGUGCGGUGCUUUCACAGUUCAGAGGCAUCUCGACCUAAAUGCGAUGUGACAGGAGAACCUUUACUGAAACAAACGGGAAUAUAGUAUCAGGGAAGGCUGACCGAGCUGUGAACCGGAGCCUUAACACAGAGCAAAUUAACAUCAGCAGAAAUACCUCUCUCUCUCUCUCUCUCUCUAACACUCUGUUUGUUUUGUUUUUUUGUUUUUUUUUUAGAUCACUUGUAUGAGUCGGACAGCAAACGCAUCAAAGCUCAUCCCGUUAUCUGAGCAUGCAAUUGUCUAAUUAAACAGGCUGAUGUGAGAGACCUUAUCCUGGCCCCGGCUCUGUCCGUGAACUCUGACCGAUGAACUGGACCGUUUCCCGAGGUGCUGCUGCUGCUGCUGUUCGAUGUCCUGCAGGCGAAUAUUUCUGGGUCUGAGCUUUCAGUCCCACUAUCGUCCAUCAGAGAUCUGCUCCGUAAUGUGGCGCUCAGGAUUUGUGAAUGCAGUUUGAUUGGGAGGCCACUAAGGGGCUUUUUUUUUUUUUCUUCCCCUGAGUCUGAGCACGUUCAGGUUUAUGCGAGGUCAACAUCAUGGACGAGGAGCUGUCAGAACAGAACUUCUGUUUCUGACUGACUGACAGCGGUGGGCUGUGAAGGAGCUGAAGCUGCAUGAGACCACUUUAAUGGGUUAUGAGUCACAUUAGUCAGCACGAGAACCAGCAGGGGAAGAAGCAAGUAUAGAGGAGUGCAAAUCAAGCCGCCUUGCUCACGAGUGCAAAAUAAGUGCAAACUGUACAAAAACACCACCCCCCCCGCCCCCUCCACUCCUCUUAACUUGUUGGUCUUCUUUUGUCACUUUCUAAUUAUUUUUUGUUUUUUAGUUCUCUUGCAGAGUUCAGGGUUUAAUCUUGUUGUCAUUGAUUCUCCUCAUUAGAUCCUCUGAAGGGAAGCGGAGAGCUGCUGACACAGAGAAGACCAGAGACCAACAUGGCGACACUGUGGGAGGAAAAAAACGUCUCCAAAUGAACAAAACAAGAUCAUUAAAUUCUGUUUUAUGUUGCACGUUUUGUUUGUUUGUUUUUUUUAAUCAGUUUCAGUUCUUCCUCUUCAAACAGUCAGUUCAAGGUCAUGAAAUACGUAUUUUUCUCAAUAAAAGAGAAGUUGUCAUUUUAAAAACAAUCAAUCAAUCAAGGAUUUAUUUAGCACCAACAGGAAUGCAAAUGCUUUACAGAUACAG